rnacentral:rRNA from 1 species
AUCGGGGCAGGGUGAGUCGACCCCUAAGGCGAGGCCGAAAGGCGUAGUCGAUGGGAAACAGGUUAAUAUUCCUGUACUUGGUGUUACUGCGAAGGGGGGACGGAGAAGGCUAUGUUGGCCGGGCGACGGUUGUCCCGGUUUAAGCGUGUAGGCUGGUUUUCCAGGCAAAUCCGGAAAAUCAAGGCUGAGGCGUGAUGACGAGGCACUGCGGUGCUGAAGCAACAAAUGCCCUGCUUCCAGGAAAAGCCUCUAAGCAUCAGGUAACAUCAAAUCGUACCCCAAACCGACACAGGUGGUCAGGUAGAGAAUACCAAGGCGCUUGAGAGAACUCGGGUGAAGGAACUAGGCAAAAUGGUGCCGUAACUUCGGGAGAAGGCACGCUGAUAUGUAGGUGAAGUCCCUCGCGGAUGGAGCUGAAAUCAGUCGAAGAUACCAGCUGGCUGCAACUGUUUAUUAAAAACACAGCACUGUGCAAACACGAAAGUGGACGUAUACGGUGUGACGCCUGCCCGGUGCCGGAAGGUUAAUUGAUGGGGUUAGCGCAAGCGAAGCUCUUGAUCGAAGCCCCGGUAAACGGCGGCCGUAACUAUAACGGUCCUAAGGUAGCGAAAUUCCUUGUCGGGUAAGUUCCGACCUGCACGAAUGGCGUAAUGAUGGCCAGGCUGUCUCCACCCGAGACUCAGUGAAAUUGAACUCGCUGUGAAGAUGCAGUGUACCCGCGGCAAGACGGAAAGACCCCGUGAACCUUUACUAUAGCUUGACACUGAACAUUGAGCCUUGAUGUGUAGGAUAGGUGGGAGGCUUUGAAGUGUGGACGCCAGUCUGCAUGGAGCCGACCUUGAAAUACCACCCUUUAAUGUUUGAUGUUCUAACGUUGACCCGUAAUCCGGGUUGCGGACAGUGUCUGGUGGGUAGUUUGACUGGGGCGGUCUCCUCCUAAAGAGUAACGGAGGAGCACGAAGGUUGGCUAAUCCUGGUCGGACAUCAGGAGGUUAGUGCAAUGGCAUAAGCCAGCUUGACUGCGAGCGUGACGGCGCGAGCAGGUGCGAAAGCAGGUCAUAGUGAUCCGGUGGUUCUGAAUGGAAGGGCCAUCGCUCAACGGAUAAAAGGUACUCCGGGGAUAACAGGCUGAUACCGCCCAAGAGUUCAUAUCGACGGCGGUGUUUGGCACCUCGAUGUCGGCUCAUCACAUCCUGGGGCUGAAGUAGGUCCCAAGGGUAUGGCUGUUCGCCAUUUAAAGUGGUACGCGAGCUGGGUUUAGAACGUCGUGAGACAGUUCGGUCCCUAUCUGCCGUGGGCGCUGGAGAACUGAGGGGGGCUGCUCCUAGUACGAGAGGACCGGAGUGGACGCAUCACUGGUGUUCGGGUUGUCAUGCCAAUGGCACUGCCCGGUAGCUAAAUGCGGAAGAGAUAAGUGCUGAAAGCAUCUAAGCACGAAACUUGCCCCGAGAUGAGUUCUCCCUGACUCCUUGAGAGUCCUGAAGGAACGUUGAAGACGACGACGUUGAUAGGCCGG